AUGCCCCCGCCCAUCUUCACCGCCCAGCAGCUCAUCGACCGUUUCAAGAACAAGAACCUCACCGCGGGGGAGAUGGUCCUCCUCUCCGUUGGCCGCUCCUUCUACUCCUACUUCGUCGACCGCAUCUGGAACGGCAACACACCCAUAGUACGUCCGUCGAGUGAGACCCUAUAUGAGUUACGUAUGUGCGCUGAACUAUCAUCUAUCAGGUGGAGCCCUAGCAGAAAAAAAAUCAUUAAUCAGGUGGAUACAGGGCUGAGACCGUCUUACGCAGCGCAGCUGCGGGUGCUGUGCUCGCCCGACGUGCUGGACAACAACUACUACAAGCUGCUGCCGCGCGGCAUGGGGCUCUUCUUCUCCGACAACCAGCUCCGGGUCGACGGGAACCUGAACAUAUGUUGGUGA
rnacentral:rRNA from 1 species